AUUGAACGCUGGCGGCAGGCCUAACACAUGCAAGUCGAACGGUAACAGGAAGCAGCUUGCUGCUUCGCUGACGAGUGGCGGACGGGUGAGUAAUGUCUGGGAAACUGCCUGAUGGAGGGGGAUAACUACUGGAAACGGUAGCUAAUACCGCAUAACGUCGCAAGACCAAAGAGGGGGACCUUAGGGCCUCUUGCCAUCGGAUGUGCCCAGAUGGGAUUAGCUAGUAGGUGGGGUAACGGCUCACCUAGGCGACGAUCCCUAGCUGGUCUGAGAGGAUGACCAGCCACACUGGAACUGAGACACGGUCCAGACUCCUACGGGAGGCAGCAGUGGGGAAUAUUGCACAAUGGGCGCAAGCCUGAUGCAGCCAUGCCGCGCGUAUGAAGAAGGCCUUCGGGUUGUAAAGUACUUUCAGCGGGGAGGAAGGGAGUAAAGUUAAUACCUUGGCUCAUUGACGUUACCCGCAGAAGAAGCACCGGCUAACUCCGUG
rnacentral:rRNA from 1 species